CCUCCCACCCGUGUAUACCGUACCUUGUUGCUUCGGCGGGCCCGCCGCGCAAGCGGCCGCCGGGGGGGCGUCAAACCCCCCUCCCUAGGCGAGCGCCCGCCGGAGACACCAACGUGAACACUGUCUGAAGUUUUGUUGUCUGAGUUCGAUUGUAUCGCAAUCAGUUAAAACUUUCAACAAUGGAUCUCUUGGUUCCGGCAUCGAUGAAGAACGCAGCGAAAUGCGAUAAUUAAUGUGAAUUGCAGAAUUCAGUGAAUCAUCGAGUCUUUGAACGCACAUUGCACCCCCUGGUAUUCCGGGGGGUAUGCCUGUCCGAGCGUCAUUGCUGCCCUCAAGCACGGCUUGUGUGUUGGGUCGUCGUCCCCCCCCGGGGACGGGCCCGAAAGGCAGCGGCGGCACCGCGUCCGGUCCUCGAGCGUAUGGGGCUUUGUCACCCGCUCUUGUAGGCCCGGCCGGCGCUGGCCGACGCUGAAAAGCAACCAACUAUUUCUCCAGGUUGACCUCGGAUCAGGUAGGGAUACCCGCUGAACUUAAGCAUAUCAAUAA
rnacentral:misc_RNA from 1 species